rnacentral:RNase_P_RNA from 2 species
UUCCCUCCAAAGUCUGUAUUUUACCUGCCUACAAAAGGAGGAGUCCCCGGCGGACUUCCUCAGUAUUCGCAGGUGGGAAAUUCGGUGAAAUCGCUCUGCCCACCAGGGAAAAGGUAAAACUCUCCCUGGUCCUUGGAAGGACUUGUCCUUCUGAGUCUCGUGAGAGAUGCCAAGCGUGGAGACGCUAGGGUGGUCGCCAUAAGAAACUUCAACAGGUCACACUGUUAUGGGAGGCGCCACGGGCAGUUGGUCCCUUUGCAUCCAGAAGGAAGCUUUGGGGCUGUUGAGUGCAAUAUACAGAGCGCUAGAAGGAGUCCUUCCUUCUACGCGUAA